AGGGAGCGUGAGGAGGACAGGGAACGGGCACUUCUCUCAUUCUAUAAACAGCAACAGGAAUGGGCAUGUCCACUUCAUUGUACCCUUGAUGGAGGAGUGGGCCAAACUCUGCUAUUUGAAGGUGAGCCUGACCAUCUCGUUCCAGCUGCAUCAGAGGUGCUUAUUGAGAGCAACCUCUUCCGGGUUGCAGGAAGGAUGAUAGCCCACUCCUUUUUGCAUGAUGGCCCCCAUGUCACCGGAUUAAGUCCUGCUGUUAUUCAUGUACUGUUCAAUGGGGACCCUGAAAUGGCAACAAUUGUUGUCGAGGACUGUCCUGAUCUGCACAUCAGGAGUAUUAUAACAAUGCUUGAACUUGAAGAACUUACUCAGGAACAGAAGGACACAGUGUCAGAUCUUUCCCUGUCUUGGGAUCUCCCAGCAGUCACUAAAACGAAUCAGAGGUGGCUACAUAACAAACUUCUAGUACACGCGGUGAGUUUCUCCUGCUGAUUUGGUGAAUUCUCCUUCUGAAAUUGAACUCAUCCCCCAUUUAUCCAUCAAUUAUGUUUCAAGCUAAGCAAUUCUAUCACGUCUGCAUUUCUUUUGCACAUCUGUAUUUCAAUCACAAACUAAUUGGAACUGCAGGCAGGAUUAUUACAGAACCUAAACACUCUUUAACUUGUAAUCUAG